rnacentral:lncRNA from 1 species
CACUGUAAUUGCAAUUGUUUCUAUUUUUAGGAUCCAUAUCCCAGUUACCUCUAUUUCCAGACCUCUUCUUCUUCUUCUUCUUCUUCUUCUUCUUCUUCUUAUUAUUAUUAUUAUUAUUAUUAUUAAUAUUAUUAUUAUUAUUAUUAGUAGUAGUAGUAGUAGUAGUAGUAGUAAAUCUCAAGAAUCUAUCUAAGUGUUCUUGUAGUGUAUUGGAUGUCAUUUCUUUGCAUGUCGACAAUGCGAGUUUUAGUUCCAAUUUCUUUCGGUCCUUUCAACGUUUUAACUAGUCCACCAAUUACUAUAGGAUUAAUUCUUGUGUUGGCCUUCUAACGCCUCUUUUAUGACAUUCGACUCGUCUUUACAUUCUGAGUUCAAAUUUCACCGAUACGAUUUCGCCUUUCAACUUUGUGAGGGUCGAUAAAUUAAAUACCAGUUAAAUAGCUUGGUCGAUGUAAUCUGAUGGUGCUCUCUCAUAAAUUUCAGGCCUUGUGACUUUAGUAGAUUAUUAUUAUUAUUAUUAUUAUUAUUAUUAUUAUUAUUAUUAUUAUUAUUAUGUUUGACUUUUUCUUUGCAUUUGUACAAGUUGGCGUCCAGUCUCACCCAGAGACCUCAAGCAACAAUAAGUUAGAAGUUCAUGCUGGUGUUAUGCCUAUGGUGACAUACAUUUUGUUUUGUACAUAGUAUUAUUCAUAAUAAUGUUUAACGAAAUAUAAGAAAAUGAGUUUGUUUUAUAAUUUGAGGUAACAUAGUCAGUAUUUUAUGUAGGAUAUGGGUAGUUCUCAUGAGCACUAUCUUUUUAAUUUCUGCCCUUUUGGGGAUUUCCUGGUAUCUGAGUUAGGUAGCAAUAGCCUCAUUUGCUAGCAUUCCUUGGGCACGUAUGCCAACAGGUAUUGUUUUAGUUUUCAGGUUCUAAAUUUUGCCAAUUUCUAUUAUUAUUAUUAUUAUUAUUAUUAUUAUUAUUAUUAUUAUUAUUAUUAUUAUUGUUAUUAUUAUUAUUAUGUUUUUCCUUCUUUCUUCCGUUUCUCCCCGAGUGUUUUCCAUAUACCUAGGGCAGAUUAUUAUUAUUAUUAUUAUUAUUAUUAUUAUUAUUAUUAUUUUAUACUACUAUUAUUAAUAAACAAUAUCAUUAUCAUCGUUAUUUGUUAUUCGACAUUUUCUACAACAUCUCUAAGUGCACCUAUGUAUUUUUGAUUUGUUUGUUGCAAUUCGUGUUUUGCAAGUAGACAAGCGUGUCUAAGCAAAUCCUUUCUGCGUUAUUUUGGUUUUGACUGGUCUGCUUUUGAUGGUAUAUAACUGUUUCAUCUAACGCAUAGCUAAAGCAAUAUUUUGGUGAAUGUGUGCCGGUUGUUUUAUCCACUGUGUAGUUUGUCAUGAUUUACAGUGUCAUAAAUGCAAAACUAUCAAAUAUUCUCUGUGUAGGCUUGUAUAACAUUAAACACUUACAGUUGAAUACAAUUCGAGUUAUCGCAAUCGGUAACGUACGCCGGAUAUUAUUUAUGUAGAAAUGUGAGCUGAGGUAGUUUUGGGGAUACUAGCUGCGGAGGAUCGGCUAAUAAAUUUUUACUAUCCACAAUGACACAAAUUUCUGUAUUAAACACAAUAUACAAAAAUCUUUACAGCGAGUGUUAUUUUAUCCUGGUCUUAUACUCAAUCUUCGUAGUAUAUAAUACGUUUCAAAAGAAAUAGUUAUUUUAUUAUCACUUAAAUUAGGUCGGAAAGCUUGUAGGAGCGUUAGCACACUGGACAAAACUUCUUUCCAUCAUUUCGUUUGUCUUUACAAUCGCUGUUUACAUUUCACCGAGAUCAAUUUAGUUUUUAGAGUCGAUGAAUAAGUGACAUUUGAGCAAUUGGUUGGAUGUAAGAGACUAGCCACCUUUUGCCCAUAUUAGUAUUAUCAUUACUGACAUGAGACAUAAGAAUCGUUAGGUCGACGGAAAUCAAACCUUGAAUUAUUUGUCCUAGUACAUAACAUACUGAGUUCAAAUGCUGCCGGAGUCAACGAUGUCAUUUAAUCCAUUGGAGUCGAUAAAAUAAUGAACAGAUAAAAUACUGCUCCGCUUAAAACUGUUAGUUUCUCACCUAAAUUGGAAAAUUAUUAUUAUUGUGAUUAUCAUUAUUAACAACAACAAGAACAAGAAUAACAAUUACAAUAAUAAUAAUAAUAAUAAUAAUGAUAAUAAUAAUAAUAAUAUAAUUUGCAAAGUCUGGUCGGUGGAUGCUUGACAGAUAAUGUUCAAUAGAAUUUUCUAAUAGUGUGAACGUGAAUUAAAAUAUAAAAAUCUAAUGGGAAAUGUUUUGUCAGUUUGGAUAUUAACAACACGCAGAUGUUUAUUGUGAGCAUCGAAACAUAUAAGAAGAGUUGAGUGUAUUACAUACAGCAAUCCGUGAACGUAUCUCAACAAGACGUAAUUAACCUAAUGGGGUAUAAAUGAUAUAAGUCUAAUCCUCAUAGUUCCCGAUGAGACGAGAGGGUUAUGUAUAACAAUUGCAUUAUAAAAUAAAUGUUACACAUAUGAUCAUUUAAUCACGCCAAUUACUCGAAAGAUUUCCAUGGUCAAGGGAGAUGCCCCGAUAUAAAAUGUUUCCAAGUAUAACGCAUGACAACAGAAAUAUCAAAUAGGACAUUGACACAAAAAAGCAAGUAAAAGAGACACUCUUCUAAUUACGGACUCAUUUAACAGUACCAACUCAUUAUACAAACAAGAACGUUGAGAAACGGCUUUCUAAAAUAUUAUACAUAUCACUAGCAUUUCACAAAAGAUCCUAUUUUCUGCGGAAUUUGUUAUUAAGGAAAUACUGAAAAAAAAGUAAGGAUAAUAUCAUAAAUCCAUUUUACUUAGAGUUAUACACAAAACAUGAAAUAAUAAUAAUAAUAAUAAUAAUAAUAAUAAUAAUAAUAAUAAUAAUAAUAGUAAUAACGAUAAUAAUGAUAGUAAUAACACUAAUGACAGAGUUUUAGGGCAAAUAAUGAUUGAUGAAAUGGACAAGUAUGUGAAGGUGAUUUCAUUGUUGCAGGAAAAGUAUUAAUGUUAGGUUUAGCGUAAUGCCAAAACUUUUCGGAAGGGAGUCGCUAGCUCAUAAAAUGUGCCAUAUUUUACUGAACUCGGAAGGAUGAAAGAUUUGAGCUCGGCGUUAUUUGCGCACAGAAUAUCAAGGAUAUAAUUGAUGUACUUCGUUUACCAUUUCAACAGGCCUUAUUAACAGUGGUAUUAUUGUUGUUAUAAUUAUUAACAACAACAACAACAAGGAUGAUGAUGAUGAUGAUGAUCAUAAUAAUAAUAAUGAUAAUAAUAAUAAUAAUAAUAAUAAUAUCAAAAUAAAUUAUUAGAAAAUUAUGAUGUAGAUGAUGAUGUUUAACGGGAAAAAAGGGUCAUGACAAAAUGAGAGACUGAGAGAGAUGAGACUGCUCCAACAGUUUGGUCCAGGGAUAGGAACUUACAAAGGAGAUAAUUAUUGGUUUAACUGGUUCAUAAAUUGCAUAUAAUUUGUGGACCCAGAGCAAUGAAAGGCACCGUUACAACCGGUGUUAUUUGAAAUCUAUACAGAGCGCAGGACUCUAUAUCAUUUUUUUUUCAAUUUUGUUUGUUUAUGAUCUUUCGAUAUUAUCAAUGGUCAUUAUUAUCUUUAUCAUAUUUACUGUCAUUAUCAUUCGUAAUAAAAUUACUAUUAUUAUCAUUGUUAUCCGAAACUUCUCGUGUGGUUGAUCGUUGGCUUUCAAAAUUUACCAUUUCAUAUUAUGUGACUGACAAUUAUGUCAUAAAAAUUGAAUAGAUUAGAAAUCAUAAUUAAUCAUGUUUGGUUUCCUCUACAACAUUAAAAUGCGGUAAAAAUAAAAUAAAAUUAGAUUGUUCAGUAAAAUAUACACAAACUUCAUAUAAAAUAGCAUAUUCAUUCAUCUUCAAAUUUUCAUAGUAUAACAAUAUUUGUCAUAUAAUAUAUUUCUGCAAGCAAUUCAACGUAACACAAGAAUUAGCAGGGAAUAGAAGUAGUAACAACUUAAUAGGAACAAGUGAAUAUUUAUACAUAAAUUUUGAGCCAGAAAUAUUUCCCAAACAUUCACAUAUAGAUGCACACAAAGAAACACGCUCAAAGAAAUACACACAGAUAUACACACAAACAAACUCACACACGCAUACACUCACAUCAACAUACACACAUGUAAGACUAUACAUAAUACAUGUAUACAUGCAUUCAUACAUAUACAUACAAAUGUAUAAUUUCUUAAUACAUAUAUACAUAUGUAUCUAUGUAUUUGUGUAUAUAUGUAUAUAUAUAUAUAUAUAUAUAUAUAUAUAUAUAUAUAUAUAUAUAUAUUUAUAUGUGUGUGUGCGUGCCUGCGUGUAUAUAUGUGUAUAUCUCGCCCUGGAAUUUAAAACUAAUUGUUUUACGCAUUACAUACUCUUUUACUCUUUUACUUGUUUCAGUCAUUUGACUGCGGCCAUGCUGCAACACCGCCUUUAAUCGAGCAACUCAACCCCGGGACUUAUUCUUUUCUAAGCUCAGUACUUAUUCUAUCGGUCUCUUUUGCAUAACCGCUAAGUAACGGGGACGUAAACACACCAGCAUCGGUUGUCAAGCAAUGCUAGGGGGACAAACACAGACACACAAACACACACACGCAUAUAUAUAUAUAUAUAUAUACAUAUAUACGACGGGCUUCUUUCAGUUUCCGUCUACCAAAUCCACUCACAAGGCUUUGGUCGGCCCGAGGCUAUAGUAGAAGGCACUUGCCCAAGGUGCCACACAGUGGGACUGAACCCGGAACCAUGUGGUUGGCAAACAAGCUACUUACCACACAGUCACUCAUAUAUAAAUGCAUAUAUAUUUCAAUGAUGUAUAUACACACAUACAUAUAUAUGAAUAUAUACAUACACACAAUCGCACACAUGUAUGAAUAUUGACUAUACGUAUACUUAUCUAUCGGUUUAUCUCUGUGUAUAUAUAUAUCAAUAUAGAUAUAACGUUACGUUGGCAAAUAGAUUUUUACUCCAGUGUCGUAUUAUUGUAUGUCUCUCGUUGAGAUAUUUAGAAUUAGAAAUGUUCUAUUAUAUAUAUGUAUAUAUAUAUGUACAUAUAUGUAUAUAUAUGUACAUAUCACGAUCACGAGACCGACCAGACCAUCAGAUGUUGUUACACGUCGCUGGUCACAAUGCGUUCGCAUUGUUUUAGCCUUCGAAUGACGCCACCCCGCUGGCUAAGCGAGCAGGCCAACAGAAGAAAGAGUGGGAGAAAGAGCGGUGAAAGAGUACAGCAGGGAUCACCACCCCCUGCCGGAACCUCGUGGAGCUCUUUAGGUGUUUUCGCUCAAUAAACACUCACAACACCCGGCCUGGGAAUCGAAACCGUGAUGCUACGACCGCGAGUCCGCUGCAUUAACCACUGGGCCAUUGCGCCUCCACAUGUACAUAUAUAUAUAUGAGUAUUUAUAAUACUUAUGUUAAUAACGCUGUGAGUGACGAGUGACACAUACUUACAUAUAAAUAACUGGUCUUAAAGUAUUGCACUUAAUAUAAUUAAUGUAUUGUUUACUUAUCAUACCACAUGUUCCUAAAAGAUAUUUUCUCAAUUCUGUUUCAUAUUUGGUUCAAGAAAUAGCAGGAUUUCGGUGGUGGUGCUUGAACGUCGGCCAGCGUGGCUCAACCGCACAAAAGAAAACUUACAUGAAAAGUAACUAAUCAUUCAACAUUACACAAAAAUAUAAUUGCUCCUCGCGAUGCUCUCCCUUUGAAACAAAAUAUAUUUUAUCAGAUUCACAGUAACAAAUGAAGUGCUUGCCCGUGAUCCCUUGUGUAUAAGCAUCCAGUUAUACUUCUUACAUUCAGUGCAGUGGUCCAAAUAUCCACAAAGGUGAAGCUUAGUUAGGAACAAAACAUAUAUGUUUGUGUGUAUAUAUAUGUAUAUAUAUAUAUAUAACCACACAUAUAUAAAUGUGUGUGUAUGCUUGUCUGCGUGUGCAUCUAAACAUAUACAUAUGCCUGUAUACAAGAAAACUAUACGCUAUACUUAUACAUAUACACACAUACAUAUAUACAAUAUUUAUUUGUGUAUAUAUAUAUAUAUAUAUAUAUAUAUACGUAUAGAGAGAGACGGAGAGGGAGAGAGUGAUAGAUAGAUAGAUAGAUAGAUAGAUAGAUAGAUAGAUAGAUAGAUAGAUAGAUAGAUAGAUAGGAAGAACGCUCUCACAUACAUACAAACACACACACAAACACACAUGCACCUACGUGUUUGAGCGAUCUAUGAUGUAAUUCGUAUGUAGAAUUUAGAAGAAACGUAAGUAAUUCAUAACGUGCUAGAUGAUCGCUUCCAUUUCUGUAGGUAUUGGCCAGCAUUUCUAGUGAUGUGAAGAAAAGCGACUGGGUGAAUGUACAAUUUUAGAGCAGAAGGCUCAGGAAUUUGUUCAGGUUAAAUUAUUUAGAUUAUCUAGCAACGAUGCCAAAUAGAGUCUUUGAAGACUCAACAAAACCAGUAACGGUUAAGAUGUUGCACGCACGAUCACAAGAUUGUUAGUUCGAUCUCUUCACCUGAUGAUACGUUGUGUUCUUGAGCAUAACACUUCGUUUCUUGUUACACCCGUCUGCCCAACAGUAAAUGGGCAACCUUAUGACAGAGCAGUGUUUCGAUAAGGUGUGUAGUGGGUGUUGGCCUACUCGCUCAGACAGCGGGUAGUCAUUUUCGAACGCUAAAAUGAUGUAAGGUGCAUUGUGACUUGCGAUGUACAUAUAACAUUGUUCGAUUGUCUGAUCAAUCAUGUGAUCGUAUGUAUAUAUACAUGCAUACAUACAUACAUAUAUAUAUAUAUAUAUAUAUAUAUAUAUGUACAGAGGUAAUAAAAGAGAGAGAGAGAGAGAGAGAGAGAUAGAGGGAAAAUGGAUUGGAUGACAUAUUUUACUUAAAAAACACUGUAAUUGUUGCCAUACAUCGUAAUCACAGCCAUCGGUCAAAGAUGUAAGAUUCAUUUCUUUUGCUCAUUAUUUUAAACUUUCGUCUGCAAAUUACUGAAAAUAGCACACAGCUGUGGAUAUUCAAUCACAUAGAUAAACGCAACUUGCACAUUUGAGAUGGAUGAUGCUGAUUACACGAUAUGAUAACCAUAUUAUGGUAUCAAUAUAUUACGAGUGUAAUGAUUUGUGGAAACAGCUGUAGAGAUUUUAAAUGAAGAAUGUUCAAUCCAUUUCUCUAUAUGCACCUGUUUCUAUAAACUCUAUGAAUGAUACGGAAUUCCUGAUGAUUAGGCAAUUUAAACUACAUCUAUCUCCCGCACUGUCUGUCUGUCUCUCACGCAUAUAUAUAUAUAUAUAUAUAUAUAUAUAUAUAUAUAUAUAUAUAUAUAUAUAUAUAUAUAUGAAUUUUAGACUUGUCUGUUUUUAUGGCUGAAGUAGGCUAGAAAUCAGAACUGAAGAACUUACUUGCGCUGCAUGUUACUGUUUGAUUUCAAAAUAUUUUUCAUGUGUGUAUAUUUAACGCUGACUAGGGUAAAAUAUAUAAUUAUUUAUCUUAAUAGUCAAAUUUAUAAUAUAUAUGCAUGCUUAUAUCAGUACAUAUGUAUACAUACGCGUGUAUUUGUGAGUGUACAUCCACACUAAUCCAUAUGUAUAUAUAGAUAUAUAUAUAUACAUUAUAUAUAUAUAUAUAUAUAUAUAUGUCAGAUAUAUAAAAGUGCCUAUAUAUCCAAAAUUAUGUAUGUAUAAUAUAUCCAAAAUUAUGUGUGUAUAUCCAAAAUUAUAUAUAUAUAUAUAUAUAUAUAUAAACAGAUAGAUAGAUAGACAGACAGUUACACCUGCGUAUGUGUUUGUGUGUAGGGAAUAUCACAUGUACGCUUUAAAACAUAAAUACAUACACAUGUUGCUACAUGUUUGGAAGCCUUAUUGUAUAUAAUUUAGAAGUACUUAGUAUUACCACUACAUGUAUACAUAUACACAUGUAUAUGUAAAUGAGGAAGAUAAACCACCAAACGCAAUAUAAGUAUUUGUUUAUUUCGUACUAAGUAGAAUACGAGGUAUAUGUAUCACAUUAUAUUUAUUCUGUAUUAAGUAGAAUGUGAGCUCUUUAUCACAUAGUUAUAAUUGUUAAUCCACGUCAAAUUUGCAAACCAUUGCAAACGAAUUACAGGAACCGAAAAAUAGAGUUAAUAUUUUGGAAUUCAUUAUGAAUUGUCGAAUUACAUGUUAAAGUUUUGAAAACGAAAAGCGAAACAUUCCGUUGGUUCUAAAUCAAAUCCUCAAAGGAAUAAUUUAUUUGGAUGUAGAGAAACCAAACAUGUGUACAAAUUUACAUGAAUACGUAUCUGAAAUUUGCAUAUAUUGCAUUCACAGUUAUCUAUAAACUUGCAGAUUAAUAUUCUCAAAGACACACAUCUACGA